UAUCGGAACGUGCCCUGGAGUGGGGGAUAACUAGUCGAAAGACUAGCUAAUACCGCAUACGAUCUACGGAUGAAAUGGGGGAUCGCAAGACCUCAUGCUCGUGGAGCGGCCGAUAUCUGAUUAGCUAGUUGGUGGGGUAAAGGCCUACCAAGGCAUCGAUCAGUAGCUGGUCUGAGAGGACGACCAGCCACACUGGGACUGAGACACGGCCCAG
rnacentral:rRNA from 1 species